AGUAAGGCACCUCGUGAUUUUUGGUUUUUACUUGGUAAUGGCAGCAUGAAGCCCAUAUUAGUACCUAUGAUUAAUACAGUAUAAGUUUUAAUAAGUUAAGAAUGAAGAUUCAUUUGUUUAAUCAAGUUAUAGGAAUGCUUAAUGUGUUUAAACCGUAUUCGUAUUCAUAAUCUUAAUCGUAACAUCAUAAGUCAUAACGUAAUCGCAACCUAUCAAAAUCUAAUUAUAAUCAUAUGUUACCACCGUACAGUUCAACAAAUCAUGUAUUCAAACCCAGAAUCAUCUAAUAGUUAUAUAAAGAACAUUUAUUUAAUUUACGUGUUGACACUUUAUUCCUUUCCUAAACAACAAGAACAAGGCCACAUUCUAGUAGCAUGAAAAGCGGCAGCUACAGUUCCUGUUACAUAUAUGAUUUCGGUAUCGUGACAAAACUCAAUGGUGAAAUCCUUAAGAAGUGAGAUACAACAGUAGCCAGUCCUGAGUCAAACCAACCCCUAGACGAUCAGGUCAAAUCAAAGAUAUGUGGCAGUGGUAGUGCUACAUUAACCAUAAAAUUUAUUAACAUUGUUGCUUUUAAACAUGUGUACGAUACCGCUUUUGUUAUUUCUUUUUUAAAAAUAAACAAAACCAAUAUUG